GGGCGGCCAACGGGGCGGCGGGGACCCGAUAGGUUUGACGCCGCGCUGUCCGCAGGAGGAGGAGUUUCGCUGGUUGCUGCACGCUGAGGUGCACGCCGUGCUGAGACAGCUACAGGACAUCCUUAAGGAGGCCUCUCUUCGCUUCACUCUCCCCGGCCCCAGCACCGAGGGUCCUGCCAAGCAGGAGAACUUCAUCCUGGGCAGCUCACAGACCAGGUGAAAGGGGUGCUGACUCUGCAAGGGGAUGCCCUCAGCCAAGCGGUGAGUCCCCCAGGGCCCUGUCCCCCAACAGUCCUGCUUAUGGCUUAUCUCAGCUCUGCCACCAGCUAGCUGUGUGACCCUGGGAUGUGAACUUGAAGAUGCCUCGGAACAACCAGUUGUUGCACUUCGCCUUCCGGGAGGACAAGCAGUGGAAGCUACAGCAGAUUCAGGAUGCCAGGAACCACGUGAGCCAAGCUAUUUAUCUCCUGGCAAACCGGGAUGAGAGCUACCAGUUCAAGACAGGAGCGGAAGUCCUCAAGCUCAUGGAUGCCGUUAUGCUGCAACUGACGAGAGCCAGAAACCGGCUCACUACCCCAGCCACCCUCACCCUGCCAGAGAUUGCCGCCAGCGGCCUCACGCGGAUGUUUGCCCCCACCCUACCCUCUGACCUGCUGGUCAAUGUCUACAUCAACCUCAACAAGCUGUGCCUCACUGUGUACCAGCUGCACACUCUGCAGCCCACCUCCAC
rnacentral:lncRNA from 1 species